rnacentral:rRNA from 1 species
AAUGGGCGCAAGCCUGACGGAGCGACGCCGCGUGGAGGAGAAGGCCUUCGGGUUGUAAACUCCUGUCACGACUUACGAAUCCGUCCGGGGGUAACUUCCGGACGUCGACGAAGGGUCGGAAGGAAGCCACGGCUAACUUCGUGCCAGCAGCUGCGGUAAGACGAAGGUGGCGAGCGUUGUUCGGAUUCACUGGGCAUAAAGGGCGCGUAGGCGGUUCCGUAGGUGGCGUGUGAAAUCCCCCGGCUCAACCGGGGAAGUGCGCGCCAAACCUCGGUUCUUGAGGGCGGUAGGGGGGACUGGAACUCUCGGUGGAGCGGUGAAAUGCGUAGAUAUCGAGAGGAACACCGGCGGCGAAGGCGAGUCCCUGGUCCGCAUCUGACGCUGAGGCGCGAAAGCGUGGGUAGCAAACAGGAUUAGAUACCCUGGUAGUCCACGCCGUAAACGAUGGGCACUAGGUAGCGGCCGGAUCCGACCGGUCGCUGCUGACGGAAAUCCAUUAAGUGCCCCGCCUGGGGAGUAUGGUCGCAAGGCUG